CAGUAGCCGCGGGAAUACGAAGGGGGCUAGCGUUGUUCGGAAUUACUGGGCGUAAAGCGCACGUAGGCGGAUUUUUAAGUCAGGGGUGAAAUCCCGAGGCUCAACCUCGGAACUGCCUUUGAUACUGGAGAUCUUGAGUUCGGAAGAGGUUGGUGGAACAGCUAGUGUAGAGGUGAAAUUCGUAGAUAUUAGCUAGAACACCAGUGGCGAAGGCGGCCAACUGGCCCGAUACUGACGCUGAGGUGCGAAAGCGUGGGGAGCAAACAGGAUUAGAUACCCCAGUAGUCCCUGUCUCUUAUAA
rnacentral:rRNA from 1 species